ensembl:lncRNA
GAAGAAGGACGGAACGGCAACAACAAACAUGGAGGCGGCUCCGUUCGUCGGCUUCUCUCCGGAGCGCUACUGGACGGAGGAGAAGGAGAGGGCGCUCAUUGCGUUUUUCUCCAAGAACAGUUGUCUUUGGAACCACAAGUCUGAGCACUACAAGAACCGCCAGCUACGAUGGAAAACCCUGGAACACCUGAGAAUCCUCCUGUCCACUCACCCACCUCCUGUUUCUUUCACAGUCGAAGACAUCAAGAACAAGUUCAAGAACCUCCGUACCACCUUCCAGCGUCAGUACAAGAUGGUCAGAGCGAGCAAAGGUUGCAGUUCGGAUGAUGUUUUCGUGCCGCAGUGGAAACACUACCAGCAGCUGAUGUUCCUGCAGGGCUGCUGGGACCAAGACGACGGCAUUGAUGAUCCACCGCUAUCACCGCUGACCAUUCCAGACGAGGAGAACCAGCCGGUCCUCUCCUCUCCAGGACUCAUCAUCUCCUUCCUCCCCACUCCGUCCACCUCCUCCGCCUCCACCUCGUCCUCCUGCAUCCCCUCCAACAUCAUGGUGAAGUGUUACUGGACUGAGGAGAGGGAGCGAGCGCUGAUAUCGUUCUACUCUGAGCACAGCUGUCUGUGGAACAAGAAGUCUGAAAACCACAACAACCGUCAGCUGCGACUGAGGCUGCUGGAGGCUCUGAGGACCCAGCUGUCCGACCACUCGGUGACGUUCUCAGUCGAAGAUGUAAAGUGCAAGUUCAAGAACCUUCGGACUGUGUUUAACCGUGAAUACAAAGCAGUCCAGACCAGCAGGGCGACCGACAAACCCUAUGUGUCCAAAUGGAAACACUACCAGCAUCUGCUCUUCCUCUGCGAGUCAUGCGAGGAAGACGACGCCACAGACGACCUGCAGAUACUGAUGUCGCAGGAGGACAAAGAUCUGGAACAUGGAAACCAGACUCCCUCGUCCACCCUGAGCAGCUUCUCCUGCAGCUCCAACCAAAGCAACAGUGUGAAGCUCAACAACGCCUCCUUUCCCUCCAGCUCCAGCCAGAGCGCCACCAAAACCAACUCCAGUGCUGCGUACCAGAUCUUCCUCUCCACAACCCCGGAUAACCUGAAACUAGCCGAACAAAUGGCAGCUUCCACCCUCCCGUCCUCGCCGUCCAGUUCACUGCCAGACUCCAAACCUUGUGUAAACCCUUCAUCUUUGAAUUUCUCUGCGUCCAGUUCAGUUCAGCCAGACAGCAGACUGAGCGUCGACUCCCGCUGCCUCUGGAGUGAAGCCAAAGUCCAGCAGCUCAUUUCAUUUUACUCCGAACACUGCUGUCUGUGGAACCACAAGUCUGAGAGCUACAGGAACCGUCUGCUGAGACAAAGUCUGUUGGGGACGCUGAGCAUCGCCCUGUCAGACAACGAACCGGUUCCAUUCACAGGUUUUAUUGCCGAGGACUGUACUAUGAAGCAAGCCGAACAUAUCCAGGCUCCAAAAACUCCAGUCAGCUGUGGUUCCAGCAGCAUAUGAUGGUCUUUGCAGUAGGGCUGGUCCUGAAUAUCCGGAUAUCCAAAUAUUCGGUUGUUACGGUGGUAUCCGAAUAUUUAUUUUGAGAUCCGAAUAUUGGGAUUGCGUUUUCUGCAUCUGGAUAUAGGUUCCUGUGGCAACACGAUGCAUAAAGUUUGAGAUUCUGCAACUGUACAACGUUGUUCAGUAGGUUUAAUAACAUACAGUAUAUUGCCAAAAAUAUUCGCUCACCUGCCUAGACUCGCAUAUGAACGUAAGUGACAUCCCAUUCCUAAUCCAUAGGGUUCAAUAUGAUGUCGGUCCACCCUUUGCAGCUAGAACAGCUUCAACUCUUCUGGGAAGGCUGUCCACAAGGUUUAGGAGUGUGUUUAUGUGAAUUUUUGACCAUUCUUCCACAAGCGCAUUUGUGAGGUCACACACUGAUGUUGGACCAGAAGGCCUGGCUCUCAGUCUCCACUCUAAUUCAUCCCAAAGGUGUUCUAUGGAGUUGAAGUCAGGACUCUGUGCAGGCCAGUCAAGUUCAUCCACACCAGACUCUGUCAUCCAUGUCUUUAUGGACCUUGCUUUGUGCACUGGUGCACAGUCAUGUUGGAAGAGGAAGGACCAGCUCCAAACUGUUCCCACAAAGUUGGGAGCAUGGAAUUGUCCAAAAUGUCUUGGUAUGCUGAAGCAUUCAGAGUUCCUUUCACUGGAACUAAGGGGCCAAGCCCAGCUCCUGAAAAACAAGCCCACACCAUAAUCCCCCCUCCACCAAACUUUACACUUGGCACAAUGCAGCCUGACAUGUAUGGUUCUCCUGGCAACCACCAAACCCAGACUCGUCCAUCAGAUUGCCAGAUGGAGAAGCGUGAUUUGUCAUUCCAGAGAAGGCGUCUCCACUGCUCUAGAGUCCAGUGGCAACGUGCUUUACACCACUGCAUCCCAUGCUUUGCAUUGCACUUGGUGAUGUAUGGCUUGGAUGCAGCUGCUCGGCCAUGGAAACCCAUUCCAUGAAGCUCUCUGCUGAAGCACUGUUCUUGAGCUAAUCUGAAGGCCACAUGAAGUUUGAAGGUUUGUAGUGAUUGACUGCAGAAAGUUGGCCACCUCUUGGCACUAUGCUCCUCAGCAUCCACCGACCCCCCUCCAUCAGUUUACAUGUCCUACCACUUGGUGGCUGAGUUGCUGUCGUUCCCACACACUUCCACUUUCUUAUAAUACAGCUGACAGUUGACUGUGGAAUAUUUAGGAGUGAGGAAAUGUCACAACUGGAUUUGUUGUACAGGUGGCAUCCUAUCACAGUUCCAUGCUGGAAUUCACUGAGCUCCUGAGAGCGAGCCAUUCUUUCACAAAUGUUUGUAAAAGCAGUCUGCAUGCCUAGGUGCUUGAUUUUAUACACCUGUGGCCAUGGAAGUGAUUGGAACACCUGAUUCUGAUUAUUUGGAUGGGUGAGCGAAUACUUUUGGCAAUAUAGUGUACAUGUCAACUGAUCUGCAGAUAAAACAUAUUUAUUCAGCUAAGAAACUGAGAAUCAUCAGGAAAACAACUGAUGAUAAACAAAUGAUGAAAGGGAGAUAUUUCUUAAGGAUGAUUUAAAUCCCAAACUUCGAACACGAAGGAGAUGUGUAGCAUCAGGUACCAUGGAGAUCUAGCAGGUUUAAAGAGAUCCACCUUCAUGACAGUAAAAACUCUGACUGUAGACUCAGCAUACCUCAGUAAUCCUGCUUCAUAGUGCAUCCCUGUCACCAUAUUUAGAGCCUAAACAGUAGAAAUGAUGGACAACCUAGAAAAAUAUGUUUCAGGUUGAAGCUAAAAUCGUGUUAGCUGCACUGAGGCUCAUUAAACCAAAAACAAACUGGUCCUCAUGUUCAAGUCUGUGUUGUCUGACUUUUUAGCUUUUGCUGGGCAUUCAGCUUGACGUAACAUUGGACGUUUACACGCCAGUAUUUAGCAUGUUAGCACAUUUUAGGCUUUAACUAAAGUCUAGCCAAGCAGCAGCAUGCUAACAUCAUGUGCUGGCAGAGCUGGAGAUGCUAACAUAACUAGUGGUAGUAGCAUUUCAGCUUAUAUCUGUAAGUUAUUUACAUUAAUAAUCAGUUUUUAAAUGCGUAGAAAUCUGAAUGCUGACACUAGCGAGGUGGUAACUAGAUUAUUGACUUGCCAAAGGUCGCUGUGCUAAUUGACAGCCUUGUGUGCUAGUACCAGUAAAAGCACAACUUAAUUUUACCAAAAGACAUCUUAAAGAGGUAUUUUAACACCUGAGUGUUUCAAAAUUUGUGCCAUGAAUCGUUGCCAAAGUACCAUCCAGAAAACCUUAACAAAAUUACGUCAAACUACAACAGAUAACUGAACAAAAGCUGCUAGCAUUAGCUUAAUUCUCCAUCCUUAAAGCUUGACACGUUGCUUUAUCCUACAGUGACGGGAUUGAUUCCAAAAUGGUGCGUCCACCAUUUAAAACGUGCUUAAAUCCAUUCAUUUUUGAGGACAUCAAGGUGAAACUGUUUUUUAUGCUUGCAGAACGUUAAGAUGUUUAAAACUAAGGAAAACAGUCCUUUGAUACGUUUUUUAAAGUCCUAAACUUGAGAAACUUUUUGACGUGUCAGCUUUACAACAUCGUCACCAAACCAGUUUAGUAAACGCUGAGUUAUAAAACCUACACUGUCAAUAGAAACUGACCUUGUAAAGAUGUAAUCAAACCUUUAAUGUGUCUUUAUUAUUUAAUCUGCUUUAAAGGCAGCGAGUAAUUCUAAUAUUUAAAUACUGUUACUACUUUCUGUUGUUUUUAGUCUGAGAAUGUUACAUUGAGCUUUUCUUUUGUGCAUUUCCUGAGAUUUUAUUACAGUAAUAAGCUUCAGCCAAAAGAAAGUUUAUAAAAUUCUAAGUAGUCGUGUUAAAAUAUGUAAAAAUAUUUGCAUGUGAAGCCUUUUGAAAGACAGUUCUGUUCCACAUGGAGGUUUUGAUUAAAUCAAAAUCUUUUGAUGCACUCUGCUGCUUUUUUAAACAUGUUUUUUGAAUUGCACAUUUGUUUAAGAAUUAUUUGUUCUUUUUUUGUUUGUUUGUUUGGUUUAAACUUCACUCAGUGCCUUAUGGGAGUCCCAGUAACUAACCAUGGUGUGUGUGGUCAUAUUAAAUGUAAAUGUGUAAAUAUAAGUUUCCUUUGUCUUUACAGCCUGAAUCUUGUAUUUUUAUUGAAGCAUCUACUCAAAGCAUCACAGCUUUGGUGGAAAAAAAAACAUGAUUUCAAAUGCGAUAGUUAGCAUUUUAGGUAAAUCAACAAAAGAACACAACAAUUUUAAGAGCCAAAGUUGAACAAAUAAGAAUUAUGAAGUUUAAAUGAAAGAUCUUCUCUAAUACGGUGAAGUUUCAUCGUCUAGAGAAACAAAUGGUUGUAAUUCUCUUACAUUCCUCUAGAUGGCAACAUCUAAUUACACGUUGCACUGAUGUCUCCUCAGAACUUUUCUUCAAAGCCACAUAUUUAUAGGAUAAACUGCAGGUAUUUAUAAAGAUAUUUGGGAAAUUUUAGCUUCUUAUAUCAAGUACUUAUUGAGAUGUUACUUUUUUUGUUCAUUUAAAUCUGAGUCUGUUUGAACAAUAUCUGAGGA